rnacentral:tRNA from 2 species
GCCACCGUAGCUCAGUUGGUAGAGCAACUGAUUCGUAAUCAGUAGGUCAGCGGUUCGACUCCGCUCGGUGGCUCCA